rnacentral:tRNA from 1 species
GCUUCCGUAGCUCAACUGGAUAGAGUAUCGGGCUUCGAACCCGAGGGUUGGGGGUUCGAGUCCCUCCGGGAGCGCCA